UACGUAGGGUGCGAGCGUUGUCCGGAAUUAUUGGGCGUAAAGAGCUCGUAGGCGGUUUGUCACGUCUGCUGUGAAAUCCCGAGGCUCAACCUCGGGCCUGCAGUGGGUACGGGCAGACUGGAGUGCGGUAGGGGAGAAUGGAAUUCCUGGUGUAGCGGUGGAAUGCGCAGAUAUCAGGAGGAACACCGAUGGCGAAGGCAGUUCUCUGGGCCGUAACUGACGCUGAGGCGCGAAAGCUAGGGGAGCGAACGGG
rnacentral:rRNA from 1 species